rnacentral:misc_RNA from 1 species
UCCGGUUUGGCACCGGCAGUCUUCCUAGAGUCCCCGCCAUUACGCGCUGGCAACUAAGAACAGGGGUUGCGCUCGUUGCGGGACUUAACCCAACAUCUCACGACACGAGCUGACGACAACCAUGCAGCACCUCUGCUCGCUCCCUUGCGGGUCGCUCAAUGUUUCCAUCGAGCUACCACGAGUAGUUCAAGCCCAGGUAAGGUUCUUCGCGUUGCGUCGAAUUAAACCACAUGCUCCACCGCUUGUGCGGGCCCCCGUCAAUUCCUUUGAGUUUCAACCUUGCGACCGUACUCCCCAGGCGGGGCACUUAAUGCGUUAGCUGCGGCACCCAGGGGGUCAAUACCCCGGACACCUAGUGCCCAUCGUUUACAGCGUGGACUAC